rnacentral:misc_RNA from 1 species
AAGAGAUUCCCCACUUAGAAAAAUCAAUACAAUUUUUCCAAGGCAAUGUUGCGAAGCUAGUCUAAAGAGGCUUAAUGUAGACUGUAGUGAUAUCAGCAUCGUGUGGACACUGCAGUGCCACAAAUCAAGUUGAUCAUUCCAUUCGCUUGCGCCUGGAAAAUAAAAAGUAGAUUAAUUAUUAUGAAAUUUGUUACUGUUGACGUUCUCUGGAGUCCUAGACGUGUCAAAUUCAUGUGGUAAAAUCGU